AGACCACGGCUGUCGGGUGGGUU
rnacentral:miRNA from 10 species